rnacentral:lncRNA from 1 species
AUGGUUCUCAGGCUGCCAAGUAGACCCCACACAACACAUUCUAAUUUUUCUGGAAGUUUCCAACCAGAGGUCUUGGCAAAACUUCCUCUGAAAAUGCUCCAAUGCAAUAAAUGCAACGCUUUCAAAGUUUUGAAUGUGACACGUGACCUGAACAUGGAGCUUAUAUCAGAAACAAUGACAACAGGAGAAUACUAAUGAUAAAAAGAUCAACAACUUGUAUCAAAAGCCUUGAGUCAGGUACAAUGUUAAGUAUUUCUUUUUACCAUCUUUAUUCUAAAUAAUACACUGCACUUCUAUUAAUGCAGUUUGCAAACACAUAGUUGACUUGCAGUUUGGUUCUUAUUGGUCCUAAUAAGUUAUAUAUGUAUACAACAAAUGGAAGAUGAAUAAAUGUGACUUAGCAGCAGCAAUUAAAUGGACAAAGCAAAAUUCGAGUCAACUCUAAGCGCAUAACUUGCAUAAUAGAGAUACUGUCUGUGAAAGUGUUUAAAUUUCCAUACUUGGAUUCAAAUGUUGAACCUCACAUUAAUUUAAAAUUUAUCAAUUUAAGGGAUAAUAUUCAUGAGAUAGUACUUCUGUUAUCUUAUCACCCCAUUUAACAAUCUUACUGGAUCAACUUAUCAUUCCACACCUCAGACUCAAAACCCAUCUUCACCUUGGCCCCAUGACACCUGCCCAACCCAUGAGACUUGAAAAUGCCCUACCCAUUCUUAUCUUCUUGACUAGGUCUUUUUUAAAAACUUAGAGUGCCUUUCAACACCUUCACCUAUCAAAACCCUAUCCCAUAUCAGGUUCUGUGCUUCCAAGAAAUCUUGUCAACUCAUCUCACUGCUUCUAUCCCUGCUUAAAGGUUUGGUUCAACAGCUACUUCCUACUUCCUGCUAUGUGGGACUUAUCUUGUGACUUGUUAUCUCUCCUACUAGAUUAUCAGUGUUAAUGCUUACAUCACACACACACACACACACACACACAGGACCUUGCAUGUAGUAAGGCUCUAUUUGUGCAUUCACAAAUAUUUGUUGAGCGUCUAGUAAUGUACUAAGCACUGAUUUAGUUGAUUGGAGCAACAGAGUCUAACACAAAUUUGAGAGUGUUUGUCCCUCAUUAUACUUAAAUAAUGUAUUAUAAGUCUAUUGCUGUAUUAAGUGAUAUAAAUAAGAGCUAAAAUAAAGUGAGUUCCUGAAGAGAAAAUGUAUAUACACUCAGGAUUUGCACAUUUAAUCUCAUUUUAAAUUCAUUAAGGAGUAUCCCAAUUAAAAUUUGUGGUUUAUUCUUUUUUAAAAAAACUGAACGGUCCUUUCUAAUGUGAUUGAUACAUCCUAAUUUACCUUUUCUAAUGUCAGAUUUUGAUAUAUUUCUCCUUUUCUUAUAACAGAAACAUCUGCAUUUCUCAAUCUUCAUCAUAUUUAGCCCUUGUCUGGGCACGCUGGCCCACGCUGUAAUCACAGCACUUUGGGAGGCCAAGGCAGGUGGAUCACUUGAGCUCAGGAGUUCAAGACCAGCCUGGUCAAUGUGGUGAAACCCAGUCUCUACUAAAAAUACAAAAAAUUAACCAGGCAUGGUGGUUUGUGCCUGUAGUUCCAGCUGCUCAAGAGGCUGAGGCAGGAGAAUCACUUGUACCUGGGAGGCAGAGGCUACAGUGGGUUGAGAUCGUGCCACUGCACUACAGCCUGGGUGACAAAGCAAGACUCUGUCUCAAAAAGAUAAAGGAAAAAGAAGAAAUAAAUAUUUGACCCUUGAGCUAACCAUUUUCAACCUCGAGUGUGAAUCAGAAUCUCUUACAGGAUUUUAGUAAAACAGUUUGCUAGAGCCAAGCCCCAGAGUUUCUGAUUCAGGAGGUCUGAAGUGGAGGUAAAGGGUGUGAUUUGCAACAAGUUCCCAGUGAGGUUGUCAGCUGCUGAUCCUAACAGCACUCUGAGAACCAUUGGCUUAAGCUAACUAAAAAACUAACUGCAAUUUAACGGGAAGCUCACUGGGUUUAACCUAAACUCCGCUUUCCUGAGGCCAACAUUAAAAUGGGCAUCAUGAUUCCUACGCAGAAGGGUUAUGGUGAGGAUUAAAUGAGAUGAUGUACAUGAAACCGUCUCAUCUGAGGUUCACGUCUAUGAAAUGUGAGUUAAAACUACACAUUUUCCAUUUAGCCAUAAAAUAUGGCCAAAGCAUAUAUUUCGCUAGAUUCUCCCACUUAAGGAAUUCCAGCUAUUUAUUAGAAAUUCUGGUCUCUAAAUUUGACAGUUUUGACUGAUAAAAUAAUAGAAUCAUACAGCUGGCCAAGACCUUAGAGAUUUUCUGGAGUGAGCAGUUAAACGUUUUGGAGCAGGUAAACAGUCAAACCUUUGUGCUUACUUUCUUGAUUCAAUAAAGCAAUCAAAACAAUUGAAUGGGUCUCAUGUAUCAUUCCUCAACUUGAAUAUUUGGUUUUUCCCAAAUUGAAUUAUUU